rnacentral:rRNA from 1 species
AUUGAACGCUGGCGGCAGGCCUAACACAUGCAAGUCGAACGAGUGGCGGACGGGUGAGUCAUGUCUGGGAAACUGCCUGAUGGAGGGGGAUAACUACUGGAAACGGUAGCUAAUACCGCAUACCCUCAGAUGUGCCCAGAUGGGUUUAGCUGGUUGGUGGGGUAACGGCUCACCAAGGCGACGAUCCCUAGCUGGUCUGAGAGGAUGACCAGCAACACUGGAACUGAGAAACGGUCCAGACUCCUACGGGAGGCAGCAGUGGGGAAUAGUGCAAAAUGGGCGAAAGCCUGAUGCAGCCAUGCCGCGUGUAUGAAGAAGGCCUUCGGGUUGUAAAGUAUGUUAAGCGGGGAGGCGUUACCCGCAGAAGAAGCACCGGCUAACUCCGUGCCAGCAGCCGCGGUAAUUC